CUUGAUCGACCCGAGCCACAGCGGCUCUUCCCGGUCCUGCCCGUAGGUCGCGAGCAGCGCCUGCGCCUC
rnacentral:antisense_RNA from 1 species